rnacentral:rRNA from 1 species
AUUGAACGCUGGCGGCAUGCCUUACACAUGCAAGUCGAACGGUAACGGGCCUUCGGGUGCCGACGAGUGGCGAACGGGUGAGUAAUACAUCGGAACGUGCCCGAUCGUGGGGGAUAACGAGGCGAAAGCUCUGCUAAUACCGCAUACGAUCUACGGAUGAAAGCAGGGGACCGCAAGGCCUUGCGCGGACGGAGCGGCCGAUGGCAGAUUAGGUAGUUGGUGGGAUAAAAGCUUACCAAGCCGACGAUCUGUAGCUGGUCUGAGAGGAUGAUCAGCCACACUGGGACUGAGACACGGCCCAGACUCCUACGGGAGGCAGCAGUGGGGAAUUUUGGACAAUGGGCGCAAGCCUGGUCCAGCCAUGCCGCGUGCAGGAUGAAGGCCUUCGGGUUGUAAACUGCUUUUGUACGGAACGAAAAGCCUUCUUUUAAUACAGGAGGGUCAUGACGGUACCGUAAGAAUAAGCACCGGCUAACUACGUG